rnacentral:rRNA from 1 species
UACGGAGGAUCCAAGCGUUAUCCGGAUUCAUUGGGUUUAAAGGGCGCGUAGGCGGAAUGAUAAGUCAGUGGUGAAAUCCUUCAGCUUAACUGGAGAACUGCCAUUGAUACUGUCAAUCUUGAGUACAUUUGAUGUGGGCGGAAUGUGUCAUGUAGCGGUGAAAUGCUUAGAUAUGACACAGAACACCGAUUGCGAAGGCAGCUCACAAAACUGUAACUGACGCUGAGGCACGAAAGCGUGGGUAUCAAACAGG